AUUGAACGCCGGCGGCAGGCCUAACACAUGCAAGUCGAACGAGUGGCGGACGGGUGAGUAAUGUCUGGGAAACUGCCUGAUGGAGGGGGUUAACUACUUGACACGGUAGCUAAUACCGCAUACCAUCAGAUGUGCCCAGAUGGGAUUAGCUUGUUGGUGGGGUAACGGCUCACCCAGGCGACGAUCCCUAGCUGGUCUGAGAGGAUGACCAGCAACACGGGAACGGAGACACGGUCCAGACUCCUACGGGAGGCAGUAGUGGGGAAUAUUGCACAAUGGGCGCAAGCCUGAGGCAGCCAUGCCGCGUGUAUGAAGAAGGCCUUCGGGUUGUAAAGUACUUUCAGCGGGGAGGCGUUACCCGAAGAAGAAGCACCGGCUAACUCCGUGCCAGCAGCCGCGGUAAUAC
rnacentral:rRNA from 1 species